rnacentral:tRNA from 1 species
UUAGUUAAAACCAAAAAGAGGUAUUUUAUUGUUAAUAGAAUUAUUGAUUAAUUUCUAACUAAA